GAUGAACGCUGGCGGCGUGCCUAAUACAUGCAAGUCGAGCGAACAGACGAGGAGCUUGCUCCUCUGACGUUAGCGGCGGACGGGUGAGUAACACGUGGAUAACCUACCUAUAAGACUGGGAUAACUUCGGGAAACCGGAGCUAAUACCGGAUAAUAUAUUGAACCGCAUGGUUCAAUAGUGAAAGACGGUUUUGCUGUCACUUAUAGAUGGAUCCGCGCCGCAUUAGCUAGUUGGUAAGGUAACGGCUUACCAAGGCAACGAUGCGUAGCCGACCUGAGAGGGUGAUCGGCCACACUGGAACUGGGACACGGUCCAGACUCCUACGGGAGGCAGCAGUAGGGAAUCUUGCGCAAUGGGCGAAAGCCUGACGGAGCAACGCCGCGUGAGUGAUGAAGGUCUUCGGAUCGUAAAACUCUGUUAUUAGGGAAGAACAAAUGUGUAAGUAACUAUGCACGUCUUGACGGUACCUAAUCAGAAAGCCACGGCUAACUACGUG
rnacentral:rRNA from 1 species